rnacentral:tmRNA from 1 species
GGGGCUGCACUGGUUUCGACGGGGACAGUGAGGCCGGAUAAGCGGGCGGAGGCGCCUGGCCUCCAUAAAACGGGCAAUUUUUUCAAAUUAACUGACAACUCUAAAGUUGCUCUGGCUGCCUAAUUAGGCGCCCAUCCUCUCCGGAAGGACCACGAGCCGGAACAGGGUGUGAUCUGAGUGGUGACCGUGCGUACGCUAAGCUUUGCGCGUACCAUGAAUCAUGAAGCUACCAAGGUGCGGAGUGUGUUUGUUCACGCCGUGCCGAGGGAAUGGAAAGAACAAACUGCGCCCGGAGAAGGUCCUGUCAAGUUGUUUUCGGACAGGGGUUCGAUUCCCCUCAGCUCCACCA